GUAUAGGUUUCCCAGGCAGCUGCAGAUUUGAAACAAUUCUGUCUGCAGAAUGCUCAACAUGACCCCCUGCUGACUGGAGUAUCUUCAAGUACAAAUCCUUUUAGACCCCAGAAAGUCUGUUCAUUUUUGUAGUAAAAUGAAUCUUUCAGAGGUUUCCAGAACCACUGUUGAUGAACCAGUGAAUAUAUUCAAAGAGCUAAAUUUGAAGCCUGUAGAAAAGCUUAUGCCUACAACACAUGUGCCAUACUAUUCAAAUUUCUACUUUUGUCAGUCCUUAAUAUCUACCUCUCUGAAUUUUCAUGAAUUUAUAUUUCACAAGGGUAAUUAUUUUAUAUACACUGGCAGCCACAAAUAAUAAAAUACUUAACAUAAAUGUUUU